CGACGCAUCUGCAAUACGGGCUGAGAAAUAUUUUCCCGGGAGGACACGUAGGAGUCACUCAAGGUCGCAGGUAAAAAGGAUGACAGUAGAAUGGAUGAGUGGCGGAAGGACGGCGACAGAAAGCAGGAAACUUGCGCUGCGGAAAUCCAAAAACAAAUACAGUGAAGUAGUAAAGUGCUUCGGCCCGGGGAAAGUUUUUUCAGUGCAGACAAGUGAAUCCGUGUGUUGUGAAUAUUUCAUCGUAGUCACGAAACUGCAAAUGUUGUCGAGCCAAAGUUUUAUUUGAA